rnacentral:rRNA from 1 species
CCUACGGGAGGCAGCAGUGAGGAAUAUUGGUCAAUGGACGGAAGUCUGAACCAGCCAUGCCGCGUGCAGGAAGACGGCUCUAUGAGUUGUAAACUGCUUUUGUACAAGGGUAAACCUGAAUAUGUGUAUUCAGCUGAAAGUACUGUACGAAUAAGGAUCGGCUAACUCCGUGCCAGCAGCCGCGGUAAUACGGAGGAUUCAUGCGUUAUCCGGAUUUAUUGGGUUUAAAGGGUGCGUAGGCGGAUUGAUAAGUUAGAGGUGAAAUGUCCGAGCUUAACUCGGGAACUGCCUUUAAUACUGUGGAUCUAGAGAAUAGAUGCGGUAGGCGGAAUGUAUGGUGUAGCGGUGAAAUGCGUAGAGAUCAUACAGAACACCCAUUGCGAAGGCGGCUUACCAGUCGAUAACUGACGUUGAGGCACGAAAGCGUGGGGAGCAAACAGGAUUAGAUACCCGGGUAGUC